rnacentral:rRNA from 1 species
CCUACGGGGGGCUGCAGUGGGGAAUAUUGGACAAUGGGCGCAAGCCUGAUCCAGCCAUGCCGCGUGGAUGAUGAAGGCCCUAGGGUUGUAAAGUCCUUUCGGCGGGGAAGAUAAUGACGGUACCCGCAGAAGAAGCCCCGGCUAACUUCGUGCCAGCAGCCGCGGUAAUACGAAGGGGGCUAGCGUUGCUCGGAAUCACUGGGCGUAAAGCGCACGUAGGCGGACUCUUAAGUCGGUGGUGAAAUCCUGGAGCUCAACUACAGAACUGCCUUCGAUACUGAGAGUCGCGAGUCCGGGAGAGGUGAGUGGAACUGCGAGUGUAGAGGUGAAAUUCGUAGAUAUUCGCAAGAACACCAGUGGCGAAGGCGGCUCACUGGCCCGGUACUGACGCUGAGGUGCGAAAGCGUGGGGAGCAAACAGGAUUAGAUACCCCAGUAGUC